AUUGAACGCUGGCGGCAUGCCUUACACAUGCAAGUCGAACGGCAGCACGGGAGCAAUCCUGGUGGCGAGUGGCGAACGGGUGAGUAAUAUAUCGGAACGUGCCCAGUCGUGGGGAUAACGUAGCGAAAGCUACGCUAAUACCGCAUACGAUCUAUGGAUGAAAGCGGGGGAUCGCAAGACCUCGCGCGAUUGGAGCGGCCGAUAUCAGAUUAGGUAGUUGGUGAGGUAAAGGCUCACCAAGCCGACGAUCUGUAGCUGGUCUGAGAGGACGACCAGCCACACUGGGACUGAGACACGGCCCAGACUCCUACGGGAGGCAGCAGUGGGGAAUUUUGGACAAUGGGCGCAAGCCUGAUCCAGCAAUGCCGCGUGCAGGAUGAAGGCCUUCGGUUGUAACUGCUUUGUACGGAACGAAACGGUGAGCUCUAAUACAGUUUGCUAAUGACGGUA
rnacentral:rRNA from 1 species